CAAAAGCCUGGUCCUGACUUUGCCGUCAGUUAUGGCCCGAAUUACACAUGCGAGUCCCCGCGCCCCCGUGAGAAUGCCCUCUAACCCCGACAGGAAAAGAGGAGCGGGCAUCAGGCACACACCAGUGGCCCAAAACGCCUUGCUCAGCCACACCCCCAAGGGACCUCAGCAGUGAUAAACAUUAAGCUAUCGGCGAAAGCCAGACUUAGUCAGGGUCAAAAGGGCCGGUAAAACUCGUGCCAGCCACCGCGGUUAUACGAGCGGCCCGAAUCGACGCCCCACCGGCGUAAAGUGUGAUUAGAAGAAACUUAAGACUAGUGCCAAACAGCCCCUAUGCUGUCAUACGCUAAUGGGGCCAAUGAAGACCAACAACGAAAGUGGCUCUAUAAACUUUGAACUCACGACAGUCAGGCCACAAACUGGGAUUAGAUACCCCACUAUGCCUGACUAUAAACUACGGUGAAAAGCCUACAAACACCACCCGCCUGGGAACUACGAGCAUUAGCUUAAAACCCAAAGGACUUGGCGGUGCCUCACACCCAACUAGAGGAGCCUGUUCUAUAACCGAUAAUCCCCGUUAAACCUCACCCCUUCUUGUCACCACCGCCUAUAUACCGCCGUCGCCAGUUUACAUUAUGAGAUAACAAAAGUAAGCAGAAAGGGCAACACCCAAAACGUCAGGUCGAGGUGUAGCGAAUGGAGGGGGAAGAAAUGGGCUACAUUUUCUGACACAGAAUAUAACGGAAAAUGCAAUGAAAAAUGCACCAUUGAAGGUGGAUUUAGCAGUAAAAAGGAAAGAGAGAGUCCUUUUUGAAGCCGGCUCUGAGGCGCGUACACACCGCCC
rnacentral:ncRNA from 1 species